UGAUUUUGAAAUUCUCAUUUCUGCUCUUUCUGUGUUUGGUUACUUUUGUGAGGCAACUUCUUUGUAUUUUGAAUUAUUAGAGAUUCAUGCUGACUUGAUUUUUCUGAAAUUCAUGUGUCAUAUGCAAUGUAUUUCGUUUUUGCUUUGUUGGUUAUGAUAUAUGCCUAAAUUCAUAUAUGAAAGCCUUGGUUCAGAAGGCAACGAACCGCCACCCCUUGGUUCAACGUUGAAAAGUAUUCCACUGAGAUAAAUAAGACUAGAGAAUAGUCGCACAUGGAAACCCAUAAAGCAAGUGAAGAUGAAAAAAACCCAACAAAAACUUAUGAUCAAGAUUUGAUUUUCAGAGGCUGUGCAGAACCACAUAGCAAAAUGAAAACUCAAAUGCUCUGCAAUUUCUUCUUUACAUGUAAAGCUAUGAUGAGAAUGAACAAUAGUUUACAUCCUGGAACUUCUGUCAAGGCAAAUGGGUGCAUAUCAGAUUUGGGUGCAAAUCUGGUUGUGUUCAUAUUUGUUGUUUGCCGGACUUCUGCCGGCAAAAAUUUUGCAAACCUGCUUUCCUGAUUGUCUUCCGCAACAUAUUGUGAACAAUACCCUCUAUAUUCCUGUUCAGAAUAAACUGAUUUAGGGGAAUUCUACUACUGAGAAACAAAGAGGGAUUGUCAGCAAAGGAAUAAUCAUCAGACGAAACCGUUAACAGUGUUGCAGAAAAAACUUCAAACCUAAAAGACAAAAUAUCAGUUAAUAGCAGGUUGCUCAUGUAUCUUCCUAUAGUUUUGUUGAUCCAAAGUUUAGCUUUGUUUCAGAAGAAAUCGCUGCUAAAAUUUUGAUCCAAGACCCAAAUCUGCAAGUUUCAACAGAAACAAUUGGUGUUCAAGAUUGGUUUGUAUCAAUAGUAUUAUUGUCUAUACAAGCAAUUACUCUCUUGAACAAUCUUCAUAAUCUAUAAUAAUAGACUAAUAGUAAGUUCCGCGGCAAAGCGUGGGCAAAAUUUCUAGUAGCAACAAAUUAAGAACUGGUUUCUUGUACUAUUGAUACAGUGCACGAGUUGUCUCCUCUUGCAGGGAAGAAUUCCAGAUAGUUCCUUUGGGUAAGGAUUGCCUAUGUGCAUCCUCAUUGCUGAGGUUACUGUGGUGAUCAUUUGCUGUGAGAUUAUAUUAUUUCAUCGUUUCUUUCGAUAUGUAUCCAACAUUCCAACAUUAUAUUGAUUACUUUUAGAAAGCUUUGUCUUCUUAUUGGGAAGUUUUGCUCCAGAAGGCAACGAACCGCCACCCCUUAGUUCAACGUUGAAAAGUAUUCCACUGAGAUAAAUAAGACUAGAGAAUAGUCGCACAUGGAAACCCAUAAAGCAAGUGAAGAUGAGAAGAACCCAACAAAAACUUAUGAUCGAGAUUUGAUUUUCAGAGGCUGUGUAGAACCACAUAGCAAAAUGAAAACUUUAAUCUGACUGAUAUAUAUUUCUAACCUCACGUUUACAUGGAGACAAGGACAUGCACUCGUAAAUUCCUUCACAGUCUCAUCACUCUCAUCCAUGGUCUGGACCACCGUAGCUACCAUUCAUGAAUGAGAAGUUUCACCUGGGCUACGAGCGCGCCGGUGGGUACCUGUCAGCCGCUGAUGCAUACUGCCGACCUUGAUUUUGAUUUCACAUGCAUUUACGAUCACAAGUUCCCCGGCCCACUGAGUAUGCUAGUAAUCGAUUCUUUUUACGUUGCAAGUGCGUAAUGACAUCUAAUUUAAGAUAUAUAUUUAACAAAUGUUUCCUUUUUGUAACCAGAGUUUUCAUUUCAGGUUCGAAAAUAAGUUUAAAUUGUUAAGGAAUAAGUUAACGAUAUCUAUCACAGCAAUGAUAAACAGUUUUUCAUUA